GGGAAUCAUCGAAUGGUUGAACGCAAAUUGCACGCCCUGGUAUUCCGGGGAGUAUGCCUGUGUGAGGGUCGUUAGAAUAAAAAAUCGAGACGUCGCGCUUUGUUUUAAGGGGGAUCGCGUCGGAAUGAGGCCGGCUUUCAAAUGUUAAUUCAUGUCAAAUUGGCUUGAAUUUCAUCCAUCGCGUACGAUUAAGCAUAUUUAAGAUCAAUUUUGAUUUAGAACGCGCGAUGACGUACCAUCUCAUGUAGGACGUUUUACUUUUCGUCAUCAGGAU
rnacentral:misc_RNA from 1 species